AUUUAGGUAGCUUAUAAAUUAGAGUAUAACUUUGAAGGUGUUAUGGAAAUCUUUAGAUUCUUAGAUG
rnacentral:tRNA from 1 species